UCGAAACCCUUAAUCGAAAUGAGGUGACCCGCUCACGUGUCAACCAAUUGAAGGGGACGUAGCCCGUCGCACGAGAGACGAAGAUACAAGGCGGCCUGGCGGCCUAACACCCCCUCGAAUGUCAUCCUGGCAUGGUCGCAAGGCGGCACCUUCACUCAGUGUGGGAUGCAUGUCGAGCUUCAAAGAUAGGAGUGGUAGCUCAACCAAACCCCCGGCGCAAGUCGCGCCAAAGAAAAUGGAUAUACAACCACCGUGCUCCCUGCCGGCUCAGACGAUGGGGGCCGGCAUUGUGUCAUUUAAUGCAUAACAGAGAUGACUCUCGGCGACGGAUAUCUCGGCUCUUGCAUCGAUGAAGAACCUAGCGAAAUGCGAUACUUGGUGUGAAUUGCAGAAUCCCAUGAACCAUGGGGUCUUUGAACGCAAGUUGCACCCAAGGGCACCAUGGCCGAGGCCACGUCUGUAUGGGCGUCGCAUGCAGUGUCACCUAACACCUCAUCGCCCCUGCAUGGAGGUGUCGGUGGAGUAUGGCCUACCGUGUCAUAGGUCUCGACACGGUUGGCCCAAAUGGGAUGCUCGGGGCAACGGAUGCAGUGACAAUGGGUGGUCCGCGAAGCCGAAAUGCACGGUCACGACGUCUUGUCAUUGCAUGGUUCCCCGCUACUUGUUUCGAUCCCAUUCCGCCACCAUGGCGGGAUACAA
rnacentral:sRNA from 1 species